rnacentral:lncRNA from 1 species
GUGAGCAUCUGCAUCAGGUAAGCUUUGGGUAGAGCAGCUCACAGCACCUGCACUUGAACUCAGAUCCUGCCUUUGUGAGCUUGGUCACAUUUCUCAUCUUCCUUAGCCUCUGUUUCCUCACCUGUCAAAUGGGUUUAUAAUCCUUUCUACUUCCAAGGGUAGCUGAGACACUUCCUAAGGAUGUAAAAGCUCUGGGCGUGGCUUAUUUAUUGAUUCUGUGCUGACUGGUCCCCUACUAUGUGCCAGGCACUGUACUGGGAACCAGGAUACAGAUGUGAACAAGACAGGCCCAGCCUGCGGGUGGCAGGGGAGACAUAUAAUGCUCACACAAGUCAGUAAUUACAAAGACAAGAUUUUACAAGCACACAGUAGGUGUGGUCCCUUCAUCAGAGACCUGGACAUGAGCAUCCUUAAAAGAUCCAGCUCUUGGGGGGCCAGUCUCAGCUCCAGAAGGGUCCAAGCCCUAUUCCUACCCCCCUGGCAACAUCUCUAAACCCCAGAGACAACCUCUCAGGAGAUCAGUUGCAGACGUGGUCAGUUGUGUCAAGGGCGGUGUCCACUAGCACAGGCAUGAAUCACGUCCUGCCCGCUCAGAAGAGGUGGGGGAGGGGCCCCCAGACCCAUGUUCGCAAACACUGAUGAGGUGGGGCCGUGCCGAGCGUGUAAGGAGGGGAUGGGAGAAAAUGAGCCUGCGCAGGACAACCCCCCCAUGCUGAUGGAAAUAACACCUCCAACCAGAAAACAAGCAUUCACUCCACGCUUACUACGCUGGUCCGCAGCUAUAAUACAAACCGGAACAGAGAUUAUCUCCUCGAUGCCUCCCAAUUACCCCAUGACUCCACGUAUUAUUAUUUUUCCAACUUGAGAAGGGAGGAAACUGAGGUUUAAGGAGAUUAACUGCCUAGUCCAAGGGCAUUCAUUUCAGCAAUCUCCGCAGCCCAAAAGACUGAACCCUUCUGCUGGCUUGGCAGGAAUGAAGCCAGGGGACAAUCUUAAAAAUACAGAGGGGGUGGGUCCCCAAAGCUGGUCUAAGUGACAGUUGCUGCCUGGGCCAGGUCUCCAGCAGGAUGGGGUAGCUGGUCAAGGGGAGACCAUUGGUCAUGGCUUGUGACUUUGGCUAUGGGUCCUGAGCCUCAGUUUUCUCAGCUGGGCACAAAGGCCUGGCACACCCAUGGAGCCCCAGCCCUUCGCAUUGAUAAGGCGGGAAGACCAGGCAUCUGGCUACAGCAGGAGUUCAAGGCUAGUACAUCUGAAGCUGCCUACCUGCAAGGCCAAGUCACCAUGGAGCCACCGUGAUUGCACCUCCCAAGGCUGAGCAAGGCCAGGGCAAGAGCCAGAGCCUGCUGAGCCAUGCCUGUUGACACCCAGAGGUGACCUGUUCACCCAGGGACCAGGCUAGAGGCAGCGGUUCUGUAGCCCAAAGCCAAUACUAGCAACCAGGGCAGCUGCUGGUGUGCACGCAUGCAUGCAUGCGUGUGUGGUGGGACAGGGCUAUGUUUAAAAGCUCAGACUCUGGAGUUCCCAUUGUGGCUCAGAGAGUUAAGAACCUAACAUAGUGUCCAUCUGAGGAUGCGGGUUUAAACCAUGGCCUUGCUCAGUGGGUUAAGGAUCCGGCAUUGCCACAAGCUGCAGUGUAGGUUGCAGAUGCGGCUUGGAUCUGGCAUUGUUGUGGCUGCGGCUAUGGCUGUGGCUAUGGCUGCAGCUGUAACUCCGAUUUGACUCCUAGUCUGGGAACCUCCAUGUGCUGCAGGUGCAGCCGUGAAAAGAAAAAACAAAAACAAAAAACUCAGACUCUGGAACCAUCCCACCUGGGUUUAUAUCCUGCCUCGGCCACUUCUAGCCUGUUUGAUCCUGGGCAAAUUCCAACACCUCUCCAAGCCUCGGCUUCCUCAUAUGUAAUGUAGAGACAAUGAGAGUACCUCUCAGAGGCUGGCUCUAAGAAUUACAGAAGUAAAUACGUGAAAAGCACUGGUACGUAUUAAGUAUUCAAGAAAGAGCAGCCCUUAGCAUUAUCAUGGCGACAGCAAUGUCUGUGGAUCUCCAUGGUAACCACGAUCGUCAGCAGGUCCACAUGUGUGGAGUAUGUCAAUGGAGGAACUAGGUGGGCUGUCAUAUAUCUGUAGGGGUCAUUUUCAUCUUUGCCUGGUGCUUUGGGAGCUAAAAUAAAAAUUUGUCCCCUACCCUCAUCAUAAAACCUAUUCAACCCUCCACUCAACCAGUUAAGACAAAAAUGAAGCCAAGGCCUCACUUUCACAACUCAGGAAGGAAAAUCUAGGGGGCAUGAAACUAACAGUCCCCCUGACCCUUCCAGAGACAGCAACACCCCUGCCCUCAGGCGGCUCACAGUCACGGGUGAGGGGAGCCGGGCAGAACUCAAAGAGAAACCCAAGGAAGGUUUCAAUACCAACUGUGAUGAAUGUAAAGGGGGUACACCAGGAAGGUACCACAGAGAGAGAGGCAGCGGAACAGCCUGUGCAAAGGUCCUGAGGCUGGAGACUCUUUCAGGGAACCAAAAGUGCAGUGCACCCCAGGGCCAGAGAACACUGGCUACUCUAGUUAUUUUCGUUUUACUCAAAAGAACAUUGAGUGUCCCCAAAAGCCAGGUCUCAGAAGGUGGAGGCAUGGGAGACUCAGUCAUCUCUAAAGGCACAAGAGCCAGGGCAGAGACCACCAGGUACAUGCAGGCCAAAGGCUGUCACCUCUCUCACCUUCGAUGACACCUGGCCCAUCUGAGACUAACUUCACAAAUGGGGAAAAGCUUGAAGAGGUGAGGCAACUUACCCAGGUUCACACACGAAUCCCAUGCCAGUGCCACCCCUGACUUUCCUGGAGAAAUCCAUCCCUGACAUCCAGCAGAUCCUAUUUUCCAUACAGCCAGCACAGGACUUGCCAGAUGACUGGCAUAGGCUAAAUUUUCAAUGAAUGAAAGAGUAAGCGCCAUGUCUAACCUUGCACCUAGCUUGGGUGGCCAAUACUCAUAACCACGGGCCCCAUGAAACCUGUUGAUUGCUUCCACCACCGGGCAGUAUGAGUCUUCCUUAAACACAGAACAUCCAAGACCUCUUCAAGGCUGGAAUAGGGCUGAGUGCAUGGUCAAGGCUUGCCCUGGGGACAGAAACUCCUGUAAACAGUAAUCCAUUAACAGACAACCCUCCAGCUACAGCAGAAGAGGAAAAACACUUGCUGGGAAGCAGGGAUCCUAAGUCACUCCUUUCCUUGUGCUCCAAAGACUAAGAACCUCACGGGGCCUUCAGUGAUAAUAAUCACACCAGUAAGAAUGACAAUAGCAGCAAACACAGGUACAUUCAGUAGCAGGCACUACGUAUUAACUCAUUUAAUGCUCAUCCAUCUCAGGAUGCAGGCACCGUUAUUACACCCACUUGACAGAGGAGCAAACUGAGGCACAGAGAGGGUUAACUGCCUUGCCCAGGGUCACACGGCUGGAAAGUGGUAGAGCCGGGGUCUUAACCCAGGCAGUCUGGAUCCAGAGCUGCUGCAAUACACCCAAGGGAUGUUGGGAAUAUUUAAUUCUGCAACCAAUUCUGCACAACUGACAUGCAAUUUUGCAGACUUCCUCACUCCACUUCAAUCAGGAACUCCCCCACUCCAGCUCCACAGUCAAAGGACCAUUUAUUUAUCAUCUACUUGGUGCCAAGUGUUUCACAGUCCUUCUUGCUUAUGGAUACAAGCACCCUGUGUCGUGUCUGUUUUACAAAUGGGAGAACUGAGGUUCAGAGAGAUGGUGGGAUUAGUUGAGGGUCAUGUGGCCCAUAAGGGGCAGAGCUGGGAUUUGAACCCAUAUCUGUC